rnacentral:rRNA from 1 species
AUGGGUUUCGUUCACAAGGGUGGGGUUUGGUGCUUCCUCCUGCUCGCCGGGGUGCUGCUGGCUGCGGCGGCGGCAGGCGCGGAGCAGGACGAUGGGGCGGUGGUCACUGCCGCCCCGGAGGUGGAGGAGGAGGUCGGCCGGCGCGUUGAUGGUCAGGGCAACGACUCGUGCGACAUCAAGUGCCAACACCACCAAGUUCCGGCGAGGAAAAAGCAGUGCGUGGACGAGUGCCACAGUCGGGAGCAUCAUCACCCCAGCAGAGCGUCUUGCGAGACGAAGUGUAGCCUCUGGCAAGACCCGACGAGGAAGGAGCAGUGCGUGCAACAGUGCAUGCGCCGCGGCCUCAGCGUCGAUGUGGGCGGCAGCAACGGCGUCAACGAGCACCCCCACGCCCAGGAGGAGGAGCCCGCCCGGCGUGCGUGCGACUGGGAGUGCCGCCUGUCCUGCCAGACGAAGUGUAAAAACUGGAAAGAUCGGACCAAGCACCAAGAGUGCGUGCGACAGUGCAUCCGCGGCAGCAACAGCGCCGUCGACGAGCAACUCCGCGGCUGGGAAGCGGUGGCCGGAGCCAUCAUCGAGGCGGUGUGA